UGGGGAAGGGAACUAGGA
rnacentral:misc_RNA from 1 species